UAAAUGGAGCCCGCAGGAGGUGGGGGGAGGCCCCAGGUGGGGGCAGUAGGGCCUACGGCUGCUUUCAAGGAGCCUACGGCUGCUAACGGGGUUUCUGCUUUGGGGUAGGCUCGUGGCUGAGCUCUGCUGAUGGACUCUGCUUGCUACGACAGAAGAUGUAAUUCUCCACGUGGAAACUAGGAAGAGGAUUUUGCUUAGACACGGAGUGAUCCCUUCUCCAGUCCUAAGACUCAGCCUGGUCACUUAAGUUCCAGGGAGCUUCUGAAAGCACAAGUCUCUCUACACCUCAGUUGCAGCACCCAAAAAAACUGGGAGUAGCUGCCAGCAAGAGCCGCUCACAGGGAAAGGCAGUGACUGUUUACCUGUGCUGCUCAGCCAGACCAGGGAGGACAGG